CAGGUUUUUCUCUUUCCAUAUGUGCUCUUAUUGCUAAGAUCUAGAAAACAGACCAUUUCAAAAUAAGCUUUUCCCUCCACUCAUAGAACGUGCUUGCCCUUUCAUUUAUUUUUCUAAGUGGCUUAUUUUAAACUGCUGUUUGUUUUUUUCUCUCUAUUGAUUCAAAUAGAUUGAUGGGGUAGCAGACAGUAGGAGAGAUACUCUGACCCGUUUUCUCCACAGAUCAAGACCCAUCUUACUCUUCUAGGUCCCCUUCUCUUUUGGAGAACAUGAAAUCAUUGAAAUAGUGAGAAGUUUCUGCUUUCACUUGGAGCAGGACUUGGCUGUGAGAAAAUCAGCUAAAUCCCAGAUGAGAGAAAGACAGGUUUAAAGCCCUCCAUUUCUUUCAAAAGGGUCUGCAUGUUGGGAGGGGGGAAGCAGAACAACUGUUUCAUUAUUAUUACUAUCCAAAAGUAAUUUAUUGCUGGGGAUAAAUGUUGGGUAGCAAGAACUUUAAUUUGCACUAUCAGUCUCCCAAAUAGAAAAUCAUGUAUAGUAUUUCAUAGUAAUAAUCAAGGUACUUUAUGAAUUGCUGAUGGAUUAAAAAGAGAGAAAACAAUUGAAGGUGGUUAGGUAAAAUGCCUGCUUGGUGCACAAGACACCCUUGAUCUUGACUGGGUGGAGAUGGUUUAUUACCAUCCUUUAAUAAGAACUAAAAAACUGAGAACAGAUAAGAAACAAGACUGAAACCAUGCAUGAUCUGAAAGGUGCAGGAAGAAACACAACUAGAUCUCACUCUGGUUAGGCAUUAUUUAUUUAAUUACGUUGUAUAUCAUUGUUUGCAGCGCAAACAUUCUAUGCAUUUGAAACUGAGCACUAAACUGGGCUAGCUUUCUGAUAGACCGUUUUGUGGAUAGUGUGAUUUCACAGUCGACUGCCUGUUUUCACCGAAAACACAACAUUCUUGUCAUAUUCUUGUAUUUAGAGGAAAAGGAAAAAAGGAAGAUUACUGUAAAUAUUUUCUUGAACGCACACACUCACACAGUGGUUACAAACUGCCAGUGUUAAUCCUGAAAUGUCUCACGGAUUGAUCUACCUGUCCAUGGAUGUCUGCUGAGCUUUUUCCUUGGUUAUGUCUUUGCUCUAUUAUCUUUCCCUCCUCCCUUAUCAGAACCACUUUUGUGCACCAAAAUACAACAGAGAGAUAUGUCCCAGUACACUUACAAAUAAAACAUAACUGAAAGAAGAACAGUUUUAUGAUUUGGGUGCAUUUUUGUGUUUAUACUGGGCCAAGUCCCAGUAGAGCCGGUCAACAAAUAAGACUCAACUCAACCAAAAAUACAGGGAAGGGGAGGAUGUUUAAGUUGGGGGGGCGGGUGCGAAAAGAGGGGAAAGGAUGAGAAUGAUGUAUUUUUCUGCUGAAUCAGAAUUCACUUUCAGAUAACUCAUGUGAAAGUGGUGCUCUUGAAUAAAAUGAAUUCUAUAUUAGUUGUCUGUGUUUAUCAAAGUUUUUUUUUUUUUUUUUUUCCCUCUUCUAACUGCAGAAUCUCUUCAAGCACAGCCCUCACUUCAGAGUGGUGGAAGGUAAUAAAUAGCCAGGCACCUUCAAAAUAUUUGAAUCAGGAUUCAGGGGCAGAGGCAUUUGGAGGUUUAUAUGUAUUGUUCUAGCCUAAAAAAAAAAAAAGUUUCUAAGAAGAUGUUGUAACUAAAUAACUUUUCUUUGGAGGUUAACAUAAAUAAAAACCAUCCACUGAUCUGUCCAGC
ensembl:lncRNA